rnacentral:rRNA from 1 species
CUCUGUGACUCCUACGGGAGGCAGCAGUGGGGAAUAUUGCACAAUGGGGGAAACCCUGAUGCAGCCAUGCCGCGUGUGUGAAGAAGGCCUUCGGGUUGUAAAGCACUUUCAGUAGGGAGGAAGGUAGUGUAGUUAACACCUGCAUUAUUUGACGUUACCUACAGAAGAAGCACCGGCUAACUCCGUGCCAGCAGCCGCGGUAAUACGGAGGGUGCGAGCGUUAAUCGGAAUUACUGGGCGUAAAGCGCAUGCAGGCGGCCUGUUAAGUCAGAUGUGAAAGCCCGGGGCUUAACCUCGGAAUUGCAUUUGAAACUGGCAGGCUAGAGUCUUGUAGAGGGGGUAGAAUUUCAGGUGUAGCGGUGAAAUGCGUAGAGAUCUGAAGGAAUACCAGUGGCGAAGGCGGCCCCCUGGACAGAUACUGACACUCAGAUGCGAAAGCGUGGGGAGCAAACAGGAUUAGAUACCCUGGUAG